UGUGCUCCAAAUGCAUGAAGCAAAUUUAAAGAAAUGGCAGUGAAUCAGCCUUUCAGUUUGGCAAAAACCUCAUGCAUCUUGGAUAAGUGGCAUCCUAUGAAGAUGUGAACAAUGAAAUAAUAAGGACUCUCAGGGCUGAAGAAGUCGGAAAAGCGUGCUCAGAAGAGUCCCAAGAUUGAAGUGAUACACUGUACAAAAGAACAUAUAGCAGAAAGUUCAUGCUUCACUCAUUAAAUUGAAAAAGAGAAGGAGGAGGAGGAAAAGCAGAAGGUAAAGAAAAAAGAAAAGGACAAGGAGGAAGAGGAUUUGAGGGAUAAGAAGAGGAAGAAGAUAAACCACAUUACUACCAAUUUGAAGAAAAAUACUGACUACAACCAGCAUUUAAGACCCCAGGAAACGUCACUGUUUUUUCUUCAGAGAGCAUAGGAUUUGGAUCUACCAAAGCAGCAUGGAUUAAUAUCUUGAUAUAUACAUUUAAUGGAAUAUAUGAAGGUAUAAAGUCAGCCCACAUGAUAAUAGUUAAGUAGUUGUUGCCCAGUUGAAAUCUUCAACAAUACUUUGACUCACCUUUUUUUUUUUUAAAUAGAAUUUAAAAGCACAAAAAAACUCUUAAGCUUAUUCAAUAUUAUUUCAACUUUAUUUCAUUUACUAAAGUCCCUUGACCGACAAUUUGGAAAUUUUAAGAAAAUUGUUUUCCAAACGUUAAAAUGUAAACGGUAAUUUUUCCCAGUACAUGACGAUAACACAUCAUUAGAAUUCACACAUUGGUUUAGAAUUUAAUGACUUAACUUUAAUGAUAUGGGCUGAUCUAGUGGCUAAAGUUGGCGUCCUUUAUUUAAAGGUGAUUAUUGAAAGAACUGAAGAUUCUGGAUAUUUGUUUUCAGGAUGGGCUGCAGGCAUUUUGUAGAGCCAUACGCAUUGAAAUGGAAAUAUGAGCUGGAAUUAAAUAUUAGUAAAUGAAUAUUUACUGAAAUGGAAUGUUAGUAAAAUCCAACUUUACUUUCAUUUAGAGCCGAGUUUCAAAGACAAAAGGAAAUUUGUAAAUGGUGCUGUAAAUAAAUUUCUACACAAUUUGUCAUAGCAAAAAGAUAGGAAUAAUAAGAUCUUAUGAAACUGAAUAACAUUAGCAUUAUUGUCAACUGUUAGGUCUAUGGAUGAAAGUGCAAAAUGACAGAUAAAGAUAACAAAAAGCCUAAUUAAAUCAAGUGUUAAUUCAUGUGUUGUGGGUGGUUUCCUUCUCGUGACCUAUAAUUGUAUUGAAAGAUGGUGAUUUAUAAAUGCAAAUCUCCAUUGUUUUCAAAACCCCUUUAGACAAUGUCUUGAUUUGUUUUGUCUUCUCUGCCCCUCCCUUCUUCACCCAACAUGCACACAUGCUAGCACACUCACUCACUCACAAGUACCUACACAUAUGCACACACGGAAUCUUACAACCAGCCAGGGUGCAGCCAACAUAUCCGUCUUAUCACAUAUCCUUCAUUUCUGCAUUGGUAUCAGAAAUGAAGCUUCACUAAGAACAGAUGAGAAAAUUCAAAUUAAAAAAAAAAAGAGAGACAAAACAACAAAUAACAAAUACAAAGGUUAUAGAUGUUAAAAGUAGUUUAGCAAAGUAUAUUUCCCUAUCCCCUUUUUUAAACUCUUACAUUUUUUGUUGCGACUAUAUUUAUUGCUAGAAAUAAAUAUUCUGUUAUAUCUCAAUUAUAUCUCAAUAAAGCUGGUAUACAAAGAAAUAAAGAUUCUA